rnacentral:misc_RNA from 1 species
ACUCUUCUUUAUAAAAAUCUCUUCGAAAUUAUGUGAUUUUCUAAGACGUUUGUUCUCUGGGCUCCAUCUUAAGAUUCUACUGCACACCCACCUAACAAGCUGAAAAGUAAGCAUAUUGCUUACACUCAUACCUCAAGAAUGGAUUGAACUAUUUCCUUGAAAGUUCGUAGGACUCAACUAUAUGCUUUUACAGAGAGCAUACGCUUUUCAUAAUUUCAUUAUUUCUUCAAGUUUUUCUUAUUUUAGCUAUUUAAACAUGAAUUUGCUAUUUUGGAAAAGAAGCAUCGAGAAACGAAUUUGAAAAUACAGUGACCUUUAGAAUAACAACACAAAUCUAAAUCCGUUUGAAUUUUGUUCAAAUUCCUAAUAGUUUUGCAAUAAACUGAGUCGUUAAAUUGCAAAUUUGAACCAAAAAUGAACCGUUACAUUGCCAACCUAGUUCGAGGGUUAUUCUCCAGAGAGCUCUACUGUUGAAACGUAACCCCCACCACCUACUACUUACAUACUAAGACUGCCCAGCAGUGUAUCAAUGAAUGAAUUGAAUGAAUGACCACAAGAAAGAGUGGGAAUGGGAGGGGAAUAGAUGAGAAGUCUGUUACACUCUCUCUCUGUCUCUCAAUUCCAGCUAGCUUUUGCCAUAUCCAUGCCAUGUGUGACUUAUUAGUUAGUUGAAACGUGACAGUGACAGUUCAUCCAGUCAUUUGUGAUAAGUUACUAUGGGUUUUCAUUUAUAGAAACGUUUUGCCUUGUUUAUUCUAGACAAUCCUUGUUAGUGAAUAAUACUUUUUCUAUUCUAUUCCUAUUGACUUCGAAUCACGUGAAAUGUUAUAAAAAUGUUGAAGUGCAUGCGACCAAAUUAUUUAUCAUAAAAAAUGGACGAAACGCCGAAGCCUCAUCAAAGUCGCCGACGCUUUAGACACAAAAGUGGACGCAGAUUGAAACUUAGCGCGAAACCGCUUAAACGAAGAGGAACAGCGUUAAUUCAAUACUGGGCUUCCAAAAGGUAAGCUAAUAUUUGAUACACAUCCAUAAUUUCCUUCAUCAAGAACCAUAACAAUCAAUAUAUCUCCAUUUGUAAUUUGAGUAAUAAAGCUUCAAUUCUCAAUCGAAUAUACAAUUAUACAUGUCAACGUUUUUAGAAAUAUUGAACAGUUUCACGAUUCUAUGCUAUGAAAGCUCAGGGAACUUGGAAAACACCCAUUCAAAAAAUGUCAAUUGUCAAUUACGAAUAGUGUAAUCGGCAGACCUAUCUUACACUAAUUUUACUGCAUUUUCCAUAAUAUAUUUUCACUAUUUUUUGAAUGGGAAAUUCGUCAUUGCCACCUAUGAAUAGUCCUAUUGAUCUUGUUUUUUUUGUAAUUCCAGGGGCAGAGGCAGAAGUGAAGCUCAGACCGAAGAGUAUAAUGACUCCGAAAAUUCUACGAUAAAUACGGCCUCUGACGCAGAUUUCGUCGCUGAAGAAAGCAAUGUCUGUGACACUUGUCCAGAAAACAAAGACGUUUACGACACUCAUACAGAAAUAAUUGCAGAAGAAAGAAAAAGAACAGAAAGCAGCAUCACCAAAUUAGAAGGUAGACGAAUAGUGGACAUCAAUUCGUUUAUUGUGCAAAUUCAACAAAUCGAUGACCACUUACCAUUUCAUUGCGGUUUUAAAGAUAUGGUAGUAGUGAAAGAACGAAGAAUAGGAUUAAAUUCGUGUAUAACAUUGAAGUGUAAAAUGUGCAAUGAAAAGAAAUCACUGUGGACAAAUUUUUCAAACGAAAACACCAUGGAUGUGAAUACAUCAGCAGUUUCCGGUACAAUCAGCACAGGAGGAGGACAUGCACAGCUGGAAGAGGUUAUGUCAUCCCUAGACAUUCCCUGCAUGACCUACCACACCUUUAGGAAGUAUCAUGACCGAGUAGCUGAAGCCUGGAAGGAAACCGCCGCAAAAUCAAUGGAGAUGGCAGCAGAAGAAGAAAAGCGGGAAGCGAUCAAAAGGGGAGACGUUGAUAGUGAUGGAGUACCUUUAUUGACUGUUGUUGCGGAUGGCUGUUGGGCGAAGCGCUCCUAUCGUACCAAAUAUAAUUCCCUCUCUGGUGUGGCUGCUAUUGUUGGAUACCACACCAAGAAAGUAUUAUACGUUGGAGUGAAGAACAAAUACUGUACGCUUUGUGUACGGGCUGAACGAUCGGGUAAGCAGGCAAAAGAGCAUGUAUGUUUCAAGAAUUGGGGAACACAUCAAAGUUCUACAAGUAUGGAGGCUGCACUUAUUGCUGAGGGAUUUUCAUUGAGUGAAGAAAUGUAUGGGGUACGAUACAAUCGGCUUAUUGCUGACGGUGAUAGUAGUGUCUAUAAAACGUUGCUUGAUCGGAGGCCCUAUAAGAAUACUACUAUACUUAAAAUUGAGUGUAGAAACCAUCUUUUACGAAACUACUGCAAUAAAAUUAGAGAGAUUGCUCUGACAAGCGAUAAAGGACAUAGCCCUAUUACGUUACGCAAGAAGAUAGGUGACAGGCUACUAAGACUAAGAUACGGAGUUACAAGAGCAGUGAUAUACCAUCAGAAAAAUCCUAACAAAAUUGAAAGGAUCGAAAUGUUGAAAGAGGACAUUUUGAAUGGACCGAAUCACGUUUUUGGGGACCAUGGAAACUGCAAAAAUUAUUUUUGCAGUGGUACAGACCUACGCAACUUACCAAAUUUAGUGCCUAGUCUAGAAGCAGUUGGGCUUUUUCAGCGAGUCAAAAAUGCUGCUCGUUUUUUGAGUCUACAAGCCUCUAGUUUACUUGAAGAUGUCGACAGCAACUACGUGGAGCACUACAACCACGCAGUUGCUAAAUUUGUCGGUGGAAAGAGAAUAAAUUUCACAUCUCGCGGAAGCUACCAGGCAAGGUGUGAGGGAGCUGUUGUUCAGCACAAUACGGGAAUGGCCCUGUACAACUUGCAUAAAACUAUGUGCAAUUCUUCAAGUCCUGGAAGAUUCUAUAAGUCAGUCCAGGUUAAACGUAGAAAAAAGAUAGAACAGGACAGAAGAAGGAGAAAUAUAUCAUCAAGAAAAUCACUUUUCUCUACAGCCAUCCAAAAAACAACAGUUGACCAUGAUUACGGACCGAAUGCUCAACGCCCUGACAUCAGUGAAAAAGAACUUGUCAUUGAGAAAAAUAGGUUUUUAGCCUCACUGGUGUUAUCAGAAGAGAGCCGUCACCAGUUGGAAAGGAGGACUGUCCUGCAGCAUCACUCCGCUGAAUGGCUUGAAGAGAGACAGAAAAGGAUUACUGCAUCAAAUUUUGGACGAAUAAGCAAGAGAAGGCCAAAUACCGGAUGUGAAAAUGUAGUUCGCGAACUAUUGUAUGGGGGCGGUAAAAAUUGUUCAGCAAUGGAGUAUGGGAGGAUGAACGAGGAGGCUGCUCUAAAAAAAGUUAGUGAGAUAGCUGGACAAAAAAUUUUGAAAUGUGGGCUAUUCAUUGAUGCCGAUUUUCCAUUUCUGGCAGCAUCGCCGGAUGGAUUAUUAGAAGAUGGGCAUGGUAUUGUGGAGGUCAAAUGCCCUCAGACAAUAAAGGACCUACUCCCAAGGGAAGCAGCAAAGUUGAAAAUAUUGAAAUUUUGCAAAAUUGAAGAUACAGAUAUCGAAUUGAACACAAACCAUAACUACUACUAUCAAAUACAGGGACAACUCCACAUUACGAAACGUCAGUACUGCUUAUUUUGUAUAUGGUCGCCAAAGGGGACAGAAGUUGUUACUGUAUACAAAGAUGAGCAGUUCUGGAGUUCGAAGAUUCUUGAACAAGUGAAAAAAUUUUAUAUGGACUGUGUAUUGCCGGAGCUUGUUGAUCCUCGACACACGCGUUCAAUGCCAAUUCGAAAUCCAGAUUGGAUUAUUGAGGCGCAAGAAGCACGUAAGAAGAAAUAAUGAUGACACAAACAUAACUGGAAAAUAAAAACAAAUAUUGUCACAUACCACUUAUUUAUUAUUAAAACUUACAUUAAAGUAUUAUUAAAGUAAUACUUUAUUAAAGUAAACUUACAUUAAAGUAAUGUACCUAGGUUUCAUAAUGGCCUAGGCUUACAUUACUUUAAUGUAAGUUUUAAUAAUAAAUAAGUGAAGGAGGAAUGAGAAAAAGAUUAAAAAGAAGGAGGAGAAGGUGAAGAAGGAGGAAUAGGAGAAGAAAGAGGAGAUGGUGAAGAAGGAGAACAAGAAGAAGGAGAACAAGAAGAAGUAAGGCUUAUUAUUUCUCAAAAUUCACGUAAUAUUGUUUGAAGACCAUCAACAUAUUUUAUCGUCUUAUCUGUCUCAACUUCCGCUGAAAUAUAUUUAAAAUACAUAGAAAUAUAUUUUCAAUUACUUCUUUUAUAUUAUUUUUUUAUUAUUAAUAAUACUUUUUUAGAUUAAUUUUUCCAUUUUAAAACAAGUAAUGAGUUUGUACUUCUCGCACACAUUUUGUGUUUGAGAAAACUCACAAAGAAAAGUUUUCUUCUGAUAUUGAUAAAUUUGAAGUUGUAGGGUAUAAUAGUAGCUUCAGUUUCUAGUGUAAUAGUAGUUCUAGUAACAGUAUAGUGUAUAUUUAUGUGAUAUUGAAUUCCUGGGCUGACUACCUUUAGGAUAUAAUUCAAUUAUCUUCUGACUUAUUGUAGUUUAUCAAUGUAUAUAUAGAAAUAUAUUUUCAAUUACUUCUUUUAUAUUAUUUUUUUAUAAAACAUAAAAAACUUACUUAAUACUUACUUACU